ensembl:lncRNA
CCAGAUCCGUCCUUCCACCCAUCCCAGGGGCUCGGCUGUCCUCCCCCAAAUCAGGAAGCUCCGACCUUCAUCUCUUUCCUCACACCGCUGCCCUUGGUCACUUCCUGGUGGGGACAGGGCUGGGAUGGGGAAGGGGCAUCUCUGUCUGGAGUCUGGAGCAUGAAUGUCCCAGCCUGCCCUUCUUACUGCAGCAGGAGGGGCCUGCUUUCUUCCCAGGGGUCCUUGUGUGACCCACCUGAGGAAGGGAUUGAGAGAGGGAGGGGUGCGGGGAAGUGGGAGUGGAGGGGAGAGGCGGAGUGUGGAGGGGUCCCAGACACCGCAGGCUCCGGAAGCUUCCCAACCCAAGAGGUUUGUGUCUCUGUUCCCAUGUGUGAACUCGUGAUCAAUGGAUGUCACGAUGCUCAUCCCUUCCAACUUCGGCCUCAUCUCUUCUUUGACGUUGUUCUGGAAGGAGUCGAGAUGGCUGCCUUGCACACCACGGGGCUCCAAGCGACCUUGUAGCUCAACAGUUUCCAUCGGCAGUGGGCGCCUUGUAGCUGGAUGAUUCAGACCACAGAGAACCUCGAGAUAGGGGACCGGGCCACAUCGCCGGGCCACUGAAGGAUUAUUGUUUAGGUACACACACCCUCCCCCUUCAGGAAAUGCAAUUCACACAAACCCACGUUUAUAAGACGGAAGUUAGGGGAUACUUAAUCACAUUACGAAAGGAUUGUCUCCAGAAUUUCUUUAACUAGGUGGUUCCUCCAGGAGCUUUGCAGGUGGGUCCCAUGGAUAAAAAUCCCACCAGCGCCCAAUACACUGUGGUGGUGGGGAGACAACAGGGAGUAAAGAAACAAGCAAGGCCCAGGAGCUGGGAUGCCUGGUCUUAGCCCUGCCUGUUCUGUUGGGACCCACCUCGGACCUGUAAAGUGAGGACUAAUUCUGGACCACCUCUAAAUGCCAGGGCGUUUACAUUCUGGUCAACCUGCACCCAAUCCUAUCAAGUAAGAUAGACCUGUUUAUGAGGAGGCUCUGACCCUCUAGCUGUGCUGGAAAGAGGCAGAAGGCCAGCAAGUGCCUCAGCCCCGGGUGCCGAGUGGGGUCCCGCCCGUCCAGGUGCUGUGCUCUGCCCCUCCCGCAUUCGCUCUGACCUCCCCCUGCACCCGCUGCUUCAACCGUAUUCUCCCUCUGCUCUGAGUUGGUGCCCCAACACCCUUGAAUUUAUAAAAAUUGUUUUAUAUCCUACCAGAUUGGCCUCUCUGCUCCAUUAAAUUCAUAUCCUCAGCCAUCUCCUGUUUUCCAUCACACUUCCUCUCCCACCUCCAAGAUUUUACCCAAAGAAGUCUCAUGAUCUUGUUCAAGGAAACCUUCCCAGAUUGGUUGGUCCCGGGGCUCCCACAUGCAGCUGCACAGGCUGUGGACUGCACAAAGGCACUCGCUGAGGGGGCAAGCUGAGAACGGAACCGCAUUUGGCUCGCCAAUCCUUGCACCCUGGCUCAAGCUGUAUCCACUAGAAGGUUCCCCUUUUCAUUCUUCUUUUUGCCCCUAGGUACCACCUGCUCUCCAAGCCGCAUGCCGUAAGGAAUGCACCUGCCCAGAGCAGGCUCCGUUCACUCCCUUGUAACAAGGUUCUUCUUGGACCACCUACAUGGCCCUCCUGCCCUCGGCAUCCUCAAGUUCCCAGCCCAAUCUCCCACCAUCACCACUGACAUGUUUUACUAGUUCCUUGUAAAGUUGCUUUCUCUGUCGGAAUACCUGAAAGCUAGGCUCCUGCCUAUUUUUCUGUACCCUGGAAACUAAGAGCACUUUAUUCCCUCCCUCGGUUCAUGCUCAGUGAUAAACAAGGGAUGAAGGUAGAGACCAGGUGAAGUCCAGGACCCGGCGGGGCGUACAUCAGGGGUGUGGCGGUCACUGGCUGGACUGAGGCAGGGGGCUGGCUGGCACCCCCCCCAUGGGCCUGCCAGCCCUGUGACACCCCCCACCCCUCAGGAAAUGGGGCCAGUUCUAUGCAAAUGCGCUCUUGCCCAGGGGUCCGGUUUCUUUUCUCUGAGCUCCUGGCACAGAAAAACCUAUGGGAGCAGCUGCUUGGCAGGACGGAGAAGGGCAGGCUGGCAGGCCCAAGGCUCAGGUGACAGGGCCAGGCCCAGGAGAC